rnacentral:rRNA from 1 species
AUUAAGUAAAAGUCGUAACAAGGUUUCCGUAGGUGAA